rnacentral:rRNA from 1 species
UACGGAGGAUCCAAGCGUUAUCCGGAUUUAUUGGGUUUAAAGGGUGCGUAGGCGGUUUUAUAAGUUAGAGGUGAAAAUUCGGGGCUCAACUCCUGACGUGCCUCUAAUACUGUAUGACUAGAGAAUAGAUGCGGUAGGCGGAAUGUAUGGUGUAGCGGUGAAAUGCGUAGAGAUCAUACAGAACACCGAUUGCGAAGGCAGCUUACCAAACUAUAUCUGACGUUGAGGCACGAAAGCGUGGGGAGCAAACAGG